rnacentral:pre_miRNA from 1 species
AUCGUCAAGGUGGUUGUGACGUGUUGAGCCUCAUAUCACAGCCAGCUUUGAUGAGCU